rnacentral:rRNA from 1 species
GAUGAACGCUGGCGGCGUGCCUAAUACAUGCAAGUCGAGCGAACAGACGAGGAGCUUGCUCCUCUGACGUUAGCGGCGGACGGGUGAGUAACACGUGGAUAACCUACCUAUAAGACUGGGAUAACUUCGGGAAACCGGAGCUAAUACCGGAUAAUAUAUUGAACCGCAUGGUUCAAUAGUGAAAGACGGUUUUGCUGUCACUUAUAGAUGGAUCCGCGCCGCAUUAGCUAGUUGGUAAGGUAACGGCUUACCAAGGCAACGAUGCGUAGCCGACGUGUGAGGGGGAUAGGCCACAUUAGAACGGAGACACGGUCCUGACGACUGAGAGAGGCAGCAGUAGGGAAUCUGCCGCAAUGGGCGAAAGCCUGACGGAGCAACGCCACGUGAGUGAUGAAGGUCUUCGGAUCGUAAAACUCUGUUAUUAGGGAAAAACAAAUGUGUAAGUAACUAUGCACGUCUUGACGGUACCUAAUCAGAAAGCCACGGCUAACUACGUG